rnacentral:lncRNA from 1 species
CUAGCAAUGUCUGUCUCCCGGUAACAGCGGUCUCCUAGCAAUGGGAUAUUUUUCCGGGCUCUGGCUGAAGAUCUGGUAGUUAUUUUUAGCUCAGCUGCAGAUCAAUAGGCAGCUGCAUUUUCGGCUACUGGAGAAGAUGCUGUUUGGGGAGGGGAGUGGAGACUGGAUCUCUCGUCAAAGGGGGAAAAGACAUUUCAGGCGACAGAAACAUCUCGGAUGAGUGUCCUGGUCGUACAGAUCUGACUAGCCCAUCAGCCUCACCCAGACUGCUUCCCCUUGGGCCUACUGCACUGAUAACUCAGAACAGGGAGGGGUGGGGAGAGGGGAUUUAAUUGGGUAUAAAAGGUACGGGAACCAGAAAUUAAAAGACUUGAGGAACAGCUGAGGAAAUACUGAGUAACCAAUUCCUUCAAUGUAGCCCUGAGCCCAUUUGCUGACUCAGCACAAGCUUUUCUUUUUUUCUCUCUCCUCCACUCCCUUUCCCACACAGGGGCCAGGUCCGUCCAAGGUUGGCAUGAGUUCUUCGGGGCAGAGAUACAUUUGCUUGGAGGGGUUGGUCUGGGGGCAUUAUAAGUCUGAUGCCAGGCCCACUCCAUCAAUAUUCAUUAUUUAGGCAUCUAGGAUGAGGACAAUAGCAAGAACUGUGUUUUUCUCCCCAGGGGAAAUAGGCCUACUUCCCAAUUCUUUCCUCCUCACUGAUGGUCUAAGCUGCCCCAUCUGCCUUUUCUACUUCUCCCCACCCAGUUAAAGAGAGAGGAUAAAGACAUUUCUUGAUUGCAUUUUAUCCCAGGAGAUUCUGACUUUCCUCAUUUCUUCUCUUCCCAUCAGGAUAAGGUCUCUGCUAUCCAAGACAUGAGAUAUCUUGUGGGUGCUAUAAGGUGAGGUCAGAUUUCCAAGUCAGAAGGCCCUACUUUCUGCAGCCUCUGCAGGAUAAGGCCUGUUUGGCCUUUUACCCAGGCCUUUACCUCAGCACUCAGAGACCAUUCCCAGGUCUCAAGACAAGGCCUUGGACCACUGGCUUUUGCCCUCACCUCACACCAUGUUGGGGGAGUUCAGAAGAAAAGGUGCUUCUUGAGGGAGAAAUUUAUAUAGAAAUAUCCACCACCCAAGAAAUAGACUGCCCAUAUUUCAGAGGCUACCCCCUUGAAAAUCUGUCUUAAACAAAGCCCUCAUGGAGCUAGUUGCAAGAGAGACAGCCUGACAUCAUGGCAAGAGUGCUGUCCCAGACAUCAAAAAGUAGGAGAGCUGUGAUUUGGAUUUAGAGGACCUGGAUUUGAAUCCUGACUCGUGACACUUACUAGCAAUGUGACCUUGGGUAAGUCACAGCCUCUUUGAAUCUCAUUUUCCUCACCUGUAAGGACAGUGACACAGUAUAAAGACAGCUAUAACUGUAUUAUUCAGGCCACAGGUAGUUGUGAGGAAAGCCUUUGCAAACUAUAAAG